UGAAUAAAUAAAUGAAUGAAUAAUUUAAGACUCCAUUUCCCUUGGUAUCUUUUUAAUUUGAAUCACUUUGUUCUGCUGAAACAUUAUUGUAGCCCAGCUAGGGUUAUAUUAAGUAUAAUUUAUUUUAUUUUCAUGUAAUGGGGCAUUUAUAUUUGUUUGUGGUUCAUAUAAUAUCAUAACUGUGUCUGUGUAUACUGAUAAACUAAUUGUGCACGUCCCCUUUAAGAGUUACUGCAGAUCGGUGUGAGUUUUUUUUUUUUUUUUUGUCUCCUGCAGGUUUUAAGGCUAAUAUAGAGUAAAUAACCACUGACAAAGUGUGUUAAAGCGCCUGUAUUUGGCUGACUGAGUGUUAUUACUACUUUUAUUUAUUUUAUUUGUGUAUAUAAUCUGUACAAGAGUAAAGUUUACGAGUUGUUUCUUCUGAGUGCUGCACAGAGCAGCCGAAGCUACGCUAAUUCUCGUGACUAUCUGACUGCUUUCCUACAGUCCAACAUUGCGUUUAGUUUAGUUAACGAUGUGACUGGGAGGAAUUCAUGGACCAGUUGGGACUUACCUCGGACGUUGCUAUGGAGUAUCGUUGCUAUGGUGAUAAAGGAUCGCGCUGCUGUUCGGUAGAUGAGGGACUACAGAAAGAUGUACAGCUUCAGAGGAGGGAAUUUCGUGUUCCAGCCGCCUGGGAAUCCGUUCAGAUGAAGAAAAGCACUGUUUACCUGGAAAUGUUUUACAUGGAUCCAAUGCGGGACAAAAGGAUGAAAAAGAAAACCCUUUAAAAAGCAUAAGAACUCCUUGUGGCACUGCAUCACUGCUUUAAUAAGAACUCUGAAUUAUUUUUGUAUCUAAGCUUUUCAAUCAGAAUGGUUCAAUCUGUAAUUCUAUUUAUCAGAAUCAGAAAGAGCUUUAUUGCCAGGCGUGUUUUCGCAUGCAAGGAAUUUGUUUUAGUGACAGAAGCUCCACAGUGUAACAGAAUGACAUAUACAAUAUAGGCAAAAUUGUAUGUACACACUGACAGGUUGAAAUGUGUAAUUGAAAUAUACAUACAGUAUACAAUUAUAGGCAAUUUGUAUGUACUGAUAUGCAAGUGUGAAAAUGUGCAAUUGAAGUAAAUACACACACACAUGAUAGCCUUUCAAUAAAGAGAAAGAAUUGCACCUAUAUAAAGCUAAUUAUAGAUAAGCAAUAAAUAUGCUUAAUACCAUUAAGAUAUUAGAACAAAUAUUUAGCUUUAGGCAUCCAUUCUUUUUUUUUCUUUUUUCUUAUUAAAAAGAAAGAAAGAAAAAAAAUAAUAAUGUAACACAAAUCCUAUGCAGAACUCACAAUAAUCCCUGGGGGAAAAGUCUUGUGAGGAAACCUUAUUAGUGCUCUAAGUAACAUUAGACCUGUUGACCAAAUCUUUAGCCGUCAGUCUUUUACCCUCAAUAACAGUGAAGGGACCGUGAGAGCCAGUCCGCUUUCCUUCUCUUCUCGCUUUCUCCACCAUUGGCCACAAAAGAGCCCUUGCAUCCUUGUCUUUCUGCGAAAGGUCCUCGAAUACCUUAAUCUUCUUCUCCCUGAGAACGGCUGAGGUUUUGCUGUCUUUCCAGACUUUGUCCCGCUGGGAACGUGAUGAAAACAGGAUUAUUAUACGAGGAUUUUUCUGCAGCAGAAUGAGGCCCCAGCCGAUGAGCGAUGUCAACUCCUCGGUGCAGAUCAGCAGUGAUGCUUGGGGAGACCUGGCUGAAGAGGUCGAUGACCAUCUGCUUCACGUUCUCUCCUAAUUUCUCCAGAAUACCAGCGACACGCAGAUUCCAUCUUCUCUUGUAAGCAUCCAAAUGGUCCCAUUUGUCACGAAGUUCAACGUUUUCUUUCUCCAAUUUUCCGAUUUUUCUUUCCAUUUCGUCAAAUUUUUCUUUCAAACACUUCACUUGUUCACUGUGGAAUUCGAGAGAGCUGAUUAUCUGCUUAAUAGAACUCGAGUUCUCAAUGACAAUCUUUUCAACUCCUUGAAUUCGGUGCAAAGUUCCAUUCUCUGAAUGAAUCUCCUUAGCAUAGCAUCACUUACUGCUGGACUAUCAGAACUCGGUUUGCUUUUUUUGGCAGGAUUCGGUUCAGGUGUAUCAGGUAAAGGCACGAGUCCACAGGACUGUCCAGCAACAGCAUCCAUAUCAGAGCUCAGGGUUCUCCUUGCAUAUCUGUGCAUAGCAACACUAUAUUGAAUCACUUUAUGCUGCUACAGUAUAUUGAAUCACUUUGUACUGUUAUAACACAGAGAAACGUGUGUUGAGACUACAUCUGUAUGACCUGCACUCAUGAACCUAGACCUGUAGUGUUCCCAAGCCCUGGUGAGGUCGGACGAGUGUGAAAGGGCAAUGCCUGCACUCUGAGCACCAAUAUACGUCAAGAAGGGUGAAGGUUCACUUAAAGUUUAGUGCUGUCCACAUGAAUCACACAUCCUAAAUAUCCUGUCACCCAACAUAAGUAUACAUUACUAGAUUCAGUUGUUGAAAUAAAAUAAAGUAAAAAUCUUUUUAAUAUUUCACUAUUUUUUUUUUUUUAAAACAACAAAUAAAAAAAUGUGAAAAUCGUGAAAAAAUAGAACAAAUAACAAAUUAAAAUGGAAAAUAAACUAAAGGAAAUGGGGAAACUCUUGAAUGAAAAAGAAAUUGAAUGUAUCUGAUUACAACUGUGAAGAAGGGAUCCAGAAGGAAGCUGAUUCAACAACAGCAGGAACAGACACUGUACCUAGACAGUUGGAUAAAGACCCAUCUUGCUGAAAGAAGAUUAUUGAAUUGUUAUAAGUUUUCUUUUUUAUUUUAUAGAACGAUAAGUUUUCUUUACCUUUUAUAUGAACUUAUGUAAUUGUUUAUAUGCUCAAGAAAUGAUAUAAUGUUCAGUAGCAUGUUUAAAUGUCAAGAUAGAGAGUAACAUUGAAAGCUUGAUGUAAAAUCUCAAGGUUUUGUGUCAGCAGUAUAAAAAACACACAGUCGGCAUAAAACCACA